AGAGUUUGAUCAUGGCUCAGGAUGAACGCUGGCGGCGUGCUUAACACAUGCAAGUCGAACGAAGUAAGAGGAGCUUGCUCUUCUUACUUAGUGGCGGACGGGUGAGUAACGCGUGGGUAACCUGCCCCUAUAGAGGGGGAUAACGUUUGGAAACGAACGCUAAUACCGCAUAAUAAAGAAAAACUGCAUGGUUUUUCUUUCAAAGAUUUUAUCGCUAUAGGAUGGACCCGCGUUGGAUUAGCUAGUUGGUGAGAUAACAGCCCACCAAGGCGACGAUCCAUAGCCGGCCUGAGAGGGUGAACGGCCACAUUGGGACUGAGACACGGCCCAAACUCCUACGGGAGGCAGCAGUGGGGAAUAUUGCACAAUGGGCGCAAGCCUGAUGCAGCGACGCCGCGUGAAGGAUGAAGGUCUUCGGAUUGUAAACUUCUAUCAGCAGGGAAGAAAAAAUGACGGUACCUGACUAAGAAGCCCCGGCUAACUACGUGCCAGCAGCCGCGGUAAUACGUAGGGGGCGAGCGUUAUCCGGAAUUACUGGGUGUAAAGGGCGCGUAGGCGGCUAUGCAAGUCAGAUGUGAAAACUCAGGGCUCAACUUUGAGGCUGCAUCUGAAACUGCGUAGCUAGAGUGUGGGAGAGGAAAGUGGAAUUCCGAGUGUAGCGGUGAAAUGCGUAGAGAUUCGGAGGAACACCAGUAGCGAAGGCGGCUUUCUGGACCAUAACUGACGCUGAGGCACGAAAGCGUGGGGAGCAAACAGGAUUAGAUACCCUGGUAGUCCACGCUGUAAACGAUGAAUGCUAGGUGUUGGGGGCGACAGCUUUCAGUGCCGAAGUUAACACAUUAAGCAUUCCACCUGGGAAGUACGAUCGCAAGAUUGAAACUCAAAUGAAUUGACGG
rnacentral:rRNA from 1 species